CAGGCAGAGACAGCCUCGGAGGUCUGGAGGUCCGGAGACUCCCCCAGUUAGGAGGACACAGAAACGAGGUGCACUCACCUCCUGGGGCCAGGUCGCAUGCACAAGCUGGAGACUCCAACCUCACAGAGCUGACCCUCCAGUGGAAAGAGGCAGAAGCCACAUCACCCACAGGUAGAUGAGUAAUCUCGGAUAGUGCCAG
rnacentral:lncRNA from 1 species